UUUGAUAGGUUUUGCUUUCCUGGAUUGC
rnacentral:piRNA from 1 species